rnacentral:lncRNA from 1 species
AAUGCAUUUAGAAAUAUUAAGUUACACUCCUCCAACUAUAUCUCAAUCUGCGGAAAUGUCGAUGCGAGAAACAGAUAUUAUUGCAGUUAGUCAAUUAUAUGCGAACUUAUCGUGAUAUAUAAAUGAAUAUUAAUAAUCAAACAUUGGUAACUUUUGAUAUAAUACAAUUCCCAUAGUCAACUCAGCUCUUUACAGUAUUUGGUUCAAAACUUCAACAUGUCAUUCGCUUCGAUAGAUAUAAUGUUUGACCUCUUAAAUAGUUUUGAUUUGAUUCAAUAUACAAGACCAAUUCUUCAUAUAAUGUAUUUCUC